rnacentral:rRNA from 1 species
CUGCUUAACACAUGCAAGUCGAACGAGAUCUUCGGAUCUAGUGGCGCACGGGUGCGUAACGCGUGGGAAUCUGCCCUUAGGUACGGAAUAACAGUGAGAAAUUACUGCUAAUACCGUAUGAUGUCUUCGGACCAAAGAUUUAUCGCCUAAGGAUGAGCCCGCGUUGGAUUAGCUAGUUGGUGGGGUAAAGGCCUACCAAGGCGACGAUCCAUAGCUGGUCUGAGAGGAUGAUCAGCCACACUGGGACUGAGACACGGCCCAGACUCCUACGGGAGGCAGCAGUGGGGAAUAUUGGACAAUGGGGGAAACCCUGAUCCAGCAAUGCCGCGUGAGUGAUGAAGGCCUUAGGGUUGUAAAGCUCUUUUACCCGGGAUGAUAAUGACAGUACCGGGAGAAUAAGCUCCGGCUAACUCCGUGCCAGCAGCCGCGG